rnacentral:rRNA from 1 species
UUGGAGGGCAAGUCUGGUGCCAGCAGCCGCGGUAAUUCCAGCUCCAAUAGCGUAUAUUAAAGUUGUUGCAGUUAAAAAGCUCGUAGUUGAAUUUCGGGGUCAGUAGGUUGGUCAUGCCACAGGUAUGUACUGGUCUCACUGAUUCCUCCUUCCUGAUGAACUGUAACGCCAUUAAUUUGGUGUUGCAGGGAAUCUGGACUGUUACUUUGAAAAAAUUAAAGUGUUUAAAGCAGGCUAACGCCUGAAUACAUUAGCAUGGAAUAAUGAAAUAGGACGUUCGAUCCUGUUUUGUUGGUUUCUAGGAUUGACGUAAUGAUUAAUAGGGAUAGUUGGGGGCAUUAGUAUUCGAUUGUCAGAGGUGAAACUCUCGGAUUUAUUGAAGACUAACUACUGCGAAAGCAUUUGCCAAGGAUGUUUUCAUUAAUCAAGAACGAAAGUUAGGGGAUCGAAGACGAUCAGAUACCGUCGUAGUCUUAACCAUAAACUAUGCCGACUAGGGAUCGGAUGAUGUUAAUUUUUUAAUGACUCACUCGGCGCCUUACGGGAAACCAAAGUGUUUGGGUUC